CCUACGGGGGGCAGCAGUGGGGAAUAUUGGACAAUGGGCGAAAGCCUGAUCCAGCCAUGCCGCGUGUGUGAAGAAGGCCUUCGGGUUGUAAAGCACUUUCAGUGGGGAAGAAAGCCUUGGGGCUAAUACCCUCGAGGAAGGACAUCACCCACAGAAGAAGCACCGGCUAACUCCGUGCCAGCAGCCGCGGUAAUACGGAGGGUGCGAGCGUUAAUCGGAAUUACUGGGCGUAAAGCGCGCGUAGGCGGUCUGAUAAGCCGGUUGUGAAAGCCCCGGGCUCAACCUGGGAACGGCAUCCGGAACUGUCAGGCUAGAGUGCAGGAGAGGAAGAUAGAAUUCCCGGUGUAGCGGUGAAAUGCGUAGAGAUCGGGAGGAAUACCAGUGGCGAAGGCGGCCUUCUGGACUGACACUGACGCUGAGGUGCGAAAGCGUGGGUAGCAAACAGGAUUAGAUACCCCUGUAGUC
rnacentral:rRNA from 1 species